GAUGAACGCUGGCGGCGUGCUUAACACAUGCAAGUCGAGCGAGAAGUUUUGAAAAGAUUCUUCGGAUGAAAUUUAAAAUGGAAAGCGGCGGACGGGUGAGUAACGCGUAGGCAACCUGCCCCAUACAAAGGGAUAGCAUUUGGAAACGAAUAUCAAUACCUUAUGAAACUUAACUAGUGCAUGCUAGGUAGGUCAAAGAUUUAUCGGUAUGGGAUGGGCCUGCGUCUGAUUAGCUAGUGGGUGAGGUAACGGCUCACCAAGGCGACGAUCCGUAGCCGACCUGAGAGGGUGAACGGCCACAUUGGAACUGAGACACGGUCCAAACUCCUACGGGAGGCAGCAGUGGGGAAUAUUGCACAAUGGGGGAAACCCUGAUGCAGCAACGCCGCGUGAACGAUGAAGGCCUUUGGGUCGUAAAGUUCUGUUCUAGGUGAUGAAAACUGACAGUAACCUAGGAGAAAGCC
rnacentral:rRNA from 1 species